rnacentral:rRNA from 1 species
GAUGAACGCUGGCGGCGUGCCUAAUACAUGCAAGUCGAGCGAACAGAUAAGGAGCUUGCUCCUUUGACGUUAGCGGCGGACGGGUGAGUAACACGUGGUAACCUACCUAUAAGACUGGGAUAACUUCGGGAAACCGGAGCUAAUACCGGAUAAUAUUUCGAACCGCAUGGUUCGAUAGUGAAAGAUGGUUUUGCUAUCACUUAUAGAUGGACCCGCGCCGUAUUAGCUAGUUGGUAAGGUAACGGCUUACCAAGGCGACGAUACGUAGCCGACCUGAGAGGGUGAUCGGCCACACUGGAACUGAGACACGGUCCAGACUCCUACGGGAGGCAGCAGUAGGGAAUCUUCCGCAAUGGGCGAAAGCCUGACGGAGCAACGCCGCGUGAGUGAUGAAGGUCUUCGGAUCGUAAAACUCUGUUAUUAGGGAAGAACAUACGUGUAAGUAACUGUGCACGUCUUGACGGUACCUAAUCAGAAAGCCACGGCUAACUACGUG